rnacentral:rRNA from 1 species
AACGAACGCUGGCGGCAUGCCUAACACAUGCAAGUCGAACGAGACCGUCGGGUCUAGUGGCGCACAGGUGCGUAAGGCGUGGGAACAUGCGCUUAGGUUGGGCAUAACUCCCCGAAAGGGGUGCUAAACCGGGACAAUUACUUCGGACGAACGAUUUAUGGACGUUGGGUGGGCCCGCGUUGGAUUAGCUUGUUGGUAAGGUAAAAGCCUACCAAGGCGACGAUCCGUAGCUGGUCUGAGAGGAGGAUCAGUCACACUGGGACUCAGCCCCGGCCCAGACUCCUGCCGGAGGCAGCAGUGGGUAAUCUAGGACCACGGGCGAGAGCCUGCACCAGCACGGGCGCGAUGGUGAUGAACGCCUUAGGGUCGGAAAGCUCUUUUAACCGGGAUUAUAAUGACGGUACCGGGAGAAUAAGCACCGGCUAACUCCGUG